UGGGAGGUUGAUACACAACUAGAGUCAAAUUUUCUCUAGUUGCCACCAAUAUCUCCCUAGAAUAAAAUGAGCCUUUUGAUGACUGAGCCGACUUGAGAGAAAUCGGAGCGGACAGAUACGGGGCUAACAACU